AAAAUAUAUUAUGAUAAUAUUAAAGAAGGCAAAUGAGUGUUCCGCCUGUAUCAAGAUGGGCAUGUGGCAAAUCCCUGCUUGGUGGGGAAUGGAAUGGCCACACCUCCUUGAACCUGCCCCAUUGCCAUCCCCAGCCACACCUCCAUAAUAUUUGGGCACAAUAUCAACCAAGCAUAUUUUCUGAUAUCCAAACCUCAGGUCUAUUUUGAUACCGUUUGAUAGUCAACAAAAUAAAGUGCUUGAAUCCUACUUAAUAAAAAUGAAAUUGUGAAAAUUGAAUGUUUAUCAAUAUUCGAUAUUUUGUAAGGUAUCUGAUGUAUCUAUUUAUAUCCAUGCCCACUAGAGCAAAACAUUUUAUAAACGUAAUUUUGCCAAUAGAUGCCAAAAUUUAAAAAUAUCUCGAAACUGAAAUGCUUAUUACUACUCUUUGAAUAUGUUAAAUAAUGAUGACUAGUGAAUUGAGUAAAGAGUUAACCCCAGGGAUAAUGGGUUAAUAUAGCAAAAUCCCAAUCAGCAGAUAUAUAACUUCAUAUCAUUAUGUCCUUUUAUCACCCAAUAGCACCAGUAACCACCAACAUCUAUAGUUUCACAUAUUUGAAACUUUAGUAACAUAAUCAUUGAUCAUUGCAUUAACUGGAGAUAUGUGUUAAAAAUCUACUUGACAGCAAGGACGUCUUACAGAGAAUAUAAAAUAUAUAUAACAGGACAAUGUGUACGAAAAUUGUUCACAAGGUUAAGUGGUUAACAUUACUAGAGUUGUGGAACUAAUUGUCAACCAUGUACUGAUUAUAUAGGGUGUGCAGAAGCUCAAAAGUAGUAUCUUCAAUAUCAUCAUAAACGACCUUAAACUAACGCCAUCUACACAUGUAUGCAUCUUUUGACGGCUCUCUCCUUCCUCUCUUCAUUGUCUUUCUCCUUAGUUCACCAUUUGCAAGCAACUCUCACAGCAUUUCCUCCUAUUCAUUUGUGCCUCACUCUCUCCCCUUACCCCCAAACUUGAUACAUGCAAUGCUGUUUAUAUAGUUUUUACUGAAAGAUGGAGAAAAGCUACUAAACCAAUGUU
rnacentral:lncRNA from 1 species